GCGAGGGAGGAAACCGCGCUUUGUUGGUGAGGUGAGCCGGGUGCGCGAUCACGAGGAAGGAUGGCGAGGGAGGAAACCGCGCUUUGUUGGCGUUCAGGGAUAAUGAAGCUGAUGUGAGAGCCCUGGAGAGAAACAUCAGUCAAAGGCAUGCAGGAAAUCCCAUCCAGGGUCCCUCUACUCUCCUCUGCAGCUUCCAUGCUUGGAAUGCUGAGCCAUUGCUAGGACAAUGAGGCUACAGGAAAGUGAAAUGCACCUGCUGUGAUCUGAUCCAACUGACCACUCCUGCUGCUCCUCCCUUGCACCUCAGGCAUCUCCUUCCAGUCUGGAGGAAACACUUUUACCUCCACUUUUCUUUUACAGUCCUCCAAACUCUGUUCCUUCUAGGGAGCGCAAGUACAGAAAUAGAAACCUGGACUCCUUUCAUCCUGCUUCACAAAAUUACAACGUUAAAGAAAGAAAAAAAAAAGACCAAGUACAUUACCUGGUAGAAUUGGAGAGAUGGGCAUGAAAGAGCUGUAAAUACAGUUAGAAAACACACUAGCAUUUACAAAUGUGUAUGAGAAACAAUGAGGAGAAUUUUCAGAGACUAUUAUAACCAUUUAUUUUUCUAAUAUGUGAUACGUAAAUGCACAGAAAAUCAAUUUAAUAUUUGGGGCUUUUAUUUCUCAUUUUUUAGAUUGCCAGAAAGACUGUCCAGUGUUAUAAAGUUUGUGUCAAUAUUCUGGAAUUGGCAAUUUUGUCAUUUAUAUGGGAGAAAUAGCUAAAGGUGUAGUAUAAAGUAUUUGCUCGUAGGUAAUGGAAUGUUACCUUUACCCAAAGAUAUAAAAAAUAAACGGUAGAACAAAAACUC